AAAGUUUGUGCGAGGCGACCCCUGGCUCUGCCAGGUGGCCCCUUAGACAUCAACACCCUCUGUAUAUCUACCGCGUUGCUUUGGCGGGACGGCAGCCAGCAGGCCUACUGGGAAGCUGUCCGCAGGGCCUUUUAAGGCCCCGCGAGCGCCCGCCAGAGAGCCGUCAAACUCAUGUUAAACCGUGAUGUCUGAGCUUUACAAGCAAUAAAUUA
rnacentral:misc_RNA from 1 species